rnacentral:ncRNA from 3 species
AGCUUCUUUACAGUGCUGCCUU